GCACAAGCGGUGAGCAUGUGGUUUAAUUCGACGCAACGCGAAGAACCUUACCAGGGCUUGACAUCCCCUGACCGCGUAUGAAAGUACGUUUUCACCCUCGGGUGACAGGGAGACAGGUGGUGCAUGGUUGUCGUCAGCUCGUGUCGUGAGAUGUUGGGUUAAGUCCCGCAACGAGCGCAACCCCUACGUUUAGUUGCUAACAGGUGAAGCUGAGCACUCUAGACGAACUGCCGUUGACAAAACGGAGGAAGGUGGGAUGACGUCAAAUCAUCAUGCCCCUUAUGUUCUGGGCUACACACGUGCUACAAUGGCCGGUACAGACGGAGGCGAAGCCGCGAGGCGGAGCAAAUCCGAAAAAGCCGGUCUCAGUUCGGAUUGCAGGCUGCAAUUCGCCUGCAUGAAGUCGGAAUCGCUAGUAAUCGCAGGUCAGCAUACUGCGGUGAAUACGUUCCCGGGCCUU
rnacentral:rRNA from 1 species